GCGGGCCAUGGCGGGGGCCCGGCGCGGGCGGCUGGCGCUCGCCCUGCUGCUCGGCAGCCUGGCGCUCGGCAGCGCCGUGGGCCUCA
rnacentral:tRNA from 1 species